rnacentral:rRNA from 1 species
CAGGAGGUUAGUGCAAUGGCAUAAGCCAGCUUGACUGCGAGCGUGACGGCGCGAGCAGGUGCGAAAGCAGGUCAUAGUGAUCCGGUGGUUCUGAAUGGAAGGGCCAUCGCUCAACGGAUAAAAGGUACUCCGGGGAUAACAGGCUGAUACCGCCCAAGAGUUCAUAUCGACGGCGGUGUUUGGCACCUCGAUGUCGGCUCAUCACAUCCUGGGGCUGAAGUAGGUCCCAAGGGUAUGGCUGUUCGCCAUUUAAAGUGGUACGCGAGCUGGGUUUAGAACGUCGUGAGACAGUUCGGUCCCUAUCUGCCGUGGGCGCUGGAGAACUGAGGGGGGCUGCUCCUAGUACGAGAGGACCGGAGUGGACGCAUCACUGGUGUUCGGGUUGUCAUGCCAAUGGCACUGCCCGGUAGCUAAAUGCGGAAGAGAUAAGUGCUGAAAGCAUCUAAGCACGAAACUUGCCCCGAGAUGAGUUCUCCCUGACUCCUUGAGAGUCCUGAAGGAACGUUGAAGACGACGACGUUGAUAGGCCGGGUGUGUAAGCGCAGCGAUGCGUUGAGCUAACCGGUACUAAUGAACCGUGAGGCUUAACCUU